UCGGAUAUGGUGCAACGGCUAACAUUGCCGCCUCUCAGAGUGACUCGCGAUUCUGUUGCGUGGCAGCUCGGGGUUCGAUUCUCCGCAUCCAAA
rnacentral:tRNA from 1 species